UACGGAGGGGGCUAGCGUUGUUCGGAAUUACUGGGCGUAAAGCGCACGUAGGCGGCUUUGUAAGUUAGAGGUGAAAGCCCAGGGCUUAACCCUGGAAUUGCCUUUAAGACUGCAUCGCUAGAAUCGUGGAGAGGUGAGUGGAAUUCCGAGUGUAGAGGUGAAAUUCGUAGAUAUUCGGAAGAACACCAGUGGCGAAGGCGACUCACUGGACACUUACUGACGCUGAGACGCGAAAGCGUGGGGAGCAAACAGG
rnacentral:rRNA from 1 species